GACGAACGCUGGCGGCGUGCUUAACACAUGCAAGUCGAGCGGUAAGGCCCUUCGGGGUACACGAGCGGCGAACGGGUGAGUAACACGUGGGUGACCUGCCUCUAGCUCUGGGAUAAGCCUGGGAAACUGGGUCUAAUACCGGAUAUGACUCCACGGCGCAUGUUGUGGGGUGGAAAGCCUUGUGCGGCUGAGGAUGGGCCCGCGGCCUAUCAGCUUGUUGGUGGGGUGAUGGCCUACCAAGGCGACGACGGGUAGCCGGCCUGAGAGGGCGACCGGCCACACUGGGACUGAGACACGGCCCAGACUCCUACGGGAGGCAGCAGUGGGGAAUCUUGCGCAAUGGGCGAAAGCCUGACGCAGCGACGCCGCGUGAGGGAUGACGGCCUCGG
rnacentral:rRNA from 1 species